rnacentral:SRP_RNA from 1 species
GCCAGGUGUGGUGGUGCGCACCUGUAAUCCCAGCUACUCAGGAGGCUGAGGCAGGAGAAUCGCUUGAACCCGGGAGGUGGAGGUUGCAGUGAGCCCAGAUUGCGCCACUGCACUCCAGCCUGGGUAACACGAUGAGACUCUGUCUCAA